AUUGAACGCUGGCGGCAGGCCUAACACAUGCAAGUCGAGCGAGCGGCGCACAGGUGUGAAAUGUAUGGGGACUCCCCGAUAGAGGGGGAGAACUCCUGGAAACGGUAGCUAAUACCGCAUACUAUCGGAUAACCCAUAUGGGAUUAGCUGGUAGGUGAGGUAAUGGCUCACCUAGGCGACGAUCCCUAGCUGGUCUGAGAGGAUGAUCAGCCACACUGGGACUGAGACACGGCCCGUACUCCUACGGAGGCAGCAGUGGGGAAUAUUGCACAAUGGGCGCAAGCCUGAUGCAGCCAUGCCGCGUGUAUGAAGAAGGCCUUAGGGUUGUAAAGUACUUUCAGCGGGGAGGCGUUACCGGCAGAAGAAGCACCGGCUAACUCCGUGCCAGCAGCCGCGGUAAUAC
rnacentral:rRNA from 1 species